GUUGCACAUUAUUCUAUUUGGCAAACCUGACAAUAUACGAAACAUUUGCUACUUUCAAUCUGUGCAGUUGGGUCUCCUUACUCUUACUUCAUGGAAUAGAAUCAUCUAAAAAUGAUUUUUUGUCAAUUCAAAAGCACAAAUUCUCUUCUAUGAAAAGUAUGAAAGAGAAAGAGAAAAGGGGGAGAUGGAGAGAAGGAUGAAGAGGGCGGAAGAGAGGAAGGGUCAAAGAAAGAAAAAAUGGGGAUAUUCUAGGUUCUUUUUAAAUGGCAUUUAAAAAUGACAAAAAAUAAAGGCAUCUUGUGAAUUGGAAAAUG